AGUUCAAAGAAUGAAUGAAGCAAGUGGUGAGCCACGAAGUUUGAAGUUUGAGGGGCGAAAGGGUUGUUACUUGUGAGGUUACGAAUUACGAUCGAUGAAUAACAGAGACAGUGAAACUUCAAACCCUAUCGAUGGCGGAACAAAGAAGCCCAAGGUGGUUGUUAUUACGGGCCCCACCGCCUCCGGCAAGUCCAAGCUCGCCGUCGAUCUGGCCUCACACUUUCCCAUUGAAGUCAUCAACGCCGACUCCAUGCAAGUCUACUGUGGUCUCGACGUCCUCACCAACAAACUCCCUCUCUCCCAACACAAAGGGGUGCCGCACCAUCUCUUAGGUACCGUAAACCCAAACGUUGAAUUUACAGCUAAAGUGUUUAGGGAUUCUGCUAUUCCGAUCAUAGAUGAAAUACUAGCUCGCAAUCACUUGCCUGUUAUAGUUGGGGGUACAAAUUACUAUAUCCAGGCUCUUGUGAGUCCAUUUCUCCUAGACGAUUUGGCAGAUUAUAUGAACGAAGGCUGUUAUGGUGAUCCAUCUGGUGCCACACGGUCUGAUAUGAGUUUCCCCGCCGAUAAUGACAAUUCAAGUAAUGGUUAUGACCUGCUUAAAGAGAUCGAUCCAGUUGCUGCAAAUAGAAUCCAUCCAAAUAACCAUAGAAAGAUCAAUCAAUAUAUUAAUUUGUAUUCACGUACUGGUGUUGUUCCUAGCAAAGUAUUCCAAGGAAAAGCAGCAGAGAAGUGGGGUCAAGUUGAUAACUUAAAAUAUGAUUGCUGUUUUAUAUGUGUGGAUGCAUCUCUCCCUGUGCUGGACAAAUAUGUUGAGCAGAGGGUAGACUGUAUGAUGGAUGCUGGAUUACUCAAUGAAGUCUAUGAUGUUUACAACGUGAAUGCAGAUUAUACUAGAGGAUUGCGGCAAGCCAUUGGUGUCCGAGAAUUUGAGCCACUUCUUAGAAGUUGCCUUGUUGAAGACAUCUAUAAAAGAGAGAAGGAACUGUUAAACGGUUCCAGAAUAGAAAAGGGUUUGAAAUUGUUUGAUGGUAACCUGAUGGGGUGGUUGAAAUCUUCCUCUGAUACUAAUACCAUAAUUCUUUUAGAAGAAGCAAUAGAAAAAGUGAAGGUUAAUACCCGGAGACUUGUUCGACGACAGAAGAGGAUGCUCAAUAGACUGCAAACACUAUUUGGUUGGAACAUACAUUUUGUUGAUUCCACAGAGUCAAUAUCAAGUCACUUUUUGUUUAGGCAAAUCAGAGGAUGUAUGGACUGACCAAGUGGUUGAGUCAGCUACAAAGGUAGUUAGUUCCUUCUUGUGUGAGAAUGGAAGCUUGUCAUCUACUUGUGGCAUGUCAAAUGACACCAACGUGAAAAUUAAUCAAAGGGACCUCUGGACUCGAUACAUAUGCAAGGCCUGUGGAGACAGGGUGCUAAGAGGAUUACAUGAAUGGGAACAACACAAAAAGGGUCGUGGCCACAGGAAACGUAUUUCUAGUCUCAAGAGCAAGGCACAAAGUCUUGGUACCUUAGACAAAACGUUUGAUUACUAUGAAUGCAAAUAGUUUUAUGUAUUGUAAUUUGCAACCUGCUCCAGUUAUGAAACAUAUUUCACAGUAAUAUUACCACUGAAUGACUAAUAGCAUUUCAGUAUGUUUCUUUUUGUUUCAUUUGUCAAGACCAUCACAAAAAUCCAAAAGAAAAUACACACGUCUCUCAUUGAUUUCGUUCAUAAUCACCUAGGAAUGAGAUAUUGAGAUGUGUGGUUCUUGUUUACUUA